rnacentral:rRNA from 1 species
UAGAUACCCUGGUAGUCCACGCCCUAAACGAUGCACACUAGUUGUUGCUAUGCUAGACAUAGCAGUAAUGCAGUUAACACAUUAAGUGUGCCGCCUGGGGAGUACGGUCGCAAGAUUAAAACUCAAAGGAAUAGACGGGGACCCGCACAAGCGGUGGAGCAUGUGGUUUAAUUCGACGAUACGCGAAGAACCUUACCUGGCCUUGACAUAGUAAGAACCUAAUAGAGAUAUAAGGGUGCUAGUUUACUAGAGCUUACAUACAGGUGCUGCACGGCUGUCGUCAGCUCGUGUCGUGAGAUGUUGGGUUAAGUCCCGCAACGAGCGCAACCCUCGUGUCUAGUUACUAACAGUUCGGCUGAGGACUCUAGACAGACUGCCUGGGUAACCAGGAGGAAGGUGAGGGCGACGUCAAGUCAUCAUGGCCCUUACGGCCAGGGCUACACACGUGCUACAAUGGGGUAUACAGAGAGCCGCAAUACCGCGAGGUGGAGCAAAUCUUCAAAAUAUCUCCCAGUUCGGAUAGCAGUCUGCAACUCGACUGCUUGAAGUUGGAAUCGCUAGUAAUCGUGAAUCAGCAAUGUCACGGUGAAUACGUUCCCGGGUCUUGUACUCACCGCCCGUCACACCAUGGGAGUUGAAUUCAUUCGAAGCGGGGAUGCUAAAGUAGCUACCUUCCACAGUGGAUUUAGUAACUAGGGUGAAGUCGUAACAAGGUA